rnacentral:rRNA from 1 species
AUUGAACGCUGGCGGCAGGCCUAACACAUGCAAGUCGGACGGUAGCACAGAGGAGCUUGCUCCUCGGGUGACGAGUGGCGGACGGGUGAGUAAUGUCUGGGGAUCUGCCCGAUAGAGGGGGAUAACCACUGGAAACGGUGGCUAAUACCGCAUAACGUCGCAAGACCAAAGAGGGGGACCUUCGGGCCUCUCACUAUCGGACGAACCCAGAUGGGAUUAGCUAGUAGGCGGGGUAACGGCCCACCUAGGCGACGAUCCCUAGCUGGUCUGAGGGGAUGACCAGCCACACUGGAACUGAGACACGGUCCAGACUCCUACGGGAGGCAGCAGUGGGGAAUAUUGCACAAUGGGCGCAAGCCUGAUGCAGCCAUGCCGCGUGUAUGAAGAAGGCCUUCGGGUUGUAAAGUACUUUCAGCGGGGAGGAAGGCAGUGAGGUUAAUAACCUUACUGAUUGACGUUACCCGCAGAAGAAGCACCGGCUAACUCCGUGCCAGCAGCCGCGGUAA